GACGAACGCUGGCGGCGUGCCUAAUACAUGCAAGUAGAACGCUGAAGGAGGAGCUUGCUCUUCUGGAUGAGUUGCGAACGGGUGAGUAACGCGUAGGUAACCUGCCUGGUAGCGGGGGAUAACUAUUGGAAACGAUAGCUAAUACCGCAUAAUAGUAGAUGUUGCAUGACAUUUGCUUAAAAGGUGCAAUUGCAUCACUACCAGAUGGACCUGCGUUGUAUUAGCUAGUUGGUGAGGUAACGGCUCACCAAGGCAACGAUACAUAGCCGACCUGAGAGGGUGAUCGGCCACACUGGGACUGAGACACGGCCCAGACUUCUACGGGAGGCAGCAGUAGGGAAUCUUCGGCAAUGGACGGAAGUCUGACCGAGCAACGCCGCGUGAGUGAAGAAGGUUUUCGGAUCGUAAAGCUCUGUUGUAAGAGAAGAACGAGUGUGAGAGUGGAAAGUUCACACUGUGACGUAUCUACCAGAAAGG
rnacentral:rRNA from 1 species